GUCUAAGGCCAUACCACCCUGAACGUGCCGGACCUUGUCUGAUCUCAGAAGCUAAGCAGGGUUGGGCCUGGUUAGUACUUGGAUGGGAGACCACCUGGGAAUACCGGGUGCUGUAGGCU
rnacentral:rRNA from 1 species